GAUGAACGCUGGCGGCGUGCCUAAUACAUGCAAGUCGAGCGAACGGACGAGAAGCUUGCUUCUCUGAUGUUAGCGGCGGACGGGUGAGUAACACGUGGAUAACCUACCUAUAAGACUGGGAUAACUUCGGGAAACCGGAGCUAAUACCGGAUGAUAUUUUGAACCGCAUGGUUCAAAAGUGAAAGACGGUCUUGCUGUCACUUAUAGAUGGAUCCGCGCUGCAUUAGCUAGUUGGUAAGGUAACGGCUUACCAAGGCAACGAUGCAUAGCCGACCUGAGAGGGGGAAGGGGCCACACGGUAACGAAAGCACGGGCCGGGCCAACAGGGGAGGGGGCGGUGGGGAGUCGUCCGAAGGGGGGAAAGGACUGAGGGGGAAAUGUCGCGGGAGAAAUGAUGUUCUUGGAUUCGUAAACUCUGUUAUUAGGGAAGAACAUAUGUGUAAGUAACUGUGCACAUCUUGACGGUACCUAAUCAGAAAGCCACGGCUAACUACGUG
rnacentral:rRNA from 1 species